UUCCUGCUCUAAUUAGAACUAUAAACAGACUUUGUUUAGUAGAAGUUCUCAACCAUGUCUUUUGUUGUCGUCCAAAAGCUACAGCAUUCUGAUUUGGUGACAAAUGAAGGGUUAGUCCAUUAGUGAAGCUCAAGACAGCCAGUAACUGGCUUUCAUCAUUUUAAGUCUGCCAUUCUUAGUUCAAGUGAAGUGCCCAUUUGAUCUUUUCAAAUUUAGCCUUUAGAGAGAAAAUCUUAAGCAUAUUUGGCCUGUUUAAGCAUUUUUAAAAUGGAGAUUAACAAAUUUCGUUCAACAUUUGCUGAUCCAAUAUGUGACCUUUGAAUUGUAACACUUUGGUUGUGUAGAUAUGUUUUGAUCUGAAGGAAUAUGUUUUUAAUUAGUCUCAUACAUGAAGAUUUUGGCAUUUCAGUUAUUGUUAUUUCUUGGGAAGGAAUCAGUGAAAAACUUCCCAUGCUGCAACACUAAACAUUGUCACACUAUCUAGGAUCCUUAUCAAUGAGCUGGUCUUCAGUAUCAGUUAUUUUGUCUGUAUAUUCCUAACUACUCCCAAAGAUACAACCCAGAGAGCCAAAACACUAACUAUCAAGCAUCACAAUGUGAUUCUGCCCAGUUCAGUUUGCAUGGGGCAGUGUGCGGUUUCUAUGGCGGGUUUUCACCUUAAACAGAUGCUGAAGUGCAAAAAGGAUGGAAGUGAGUGAGUGGGAAGGGUUAAAAAAGCCAUUUAAAUCUAUUUUGCCUGGUGAGUGACUGUAGUUUGAGUCCAUGUGUACAGGAUGUGUAGUAAAUAUAAAAUGUAUGCGCGAGCUUGCCUGUUGUGUAUGUAUCUCAAUGGUUUCUCCCUGGAUUUAACUGACAUAAAAAUAGUGUAUACUACUUGAGUAAAGGAUGAAUGGACACAUACAUGUCAUUAUAGAGAGAGCUUUAAACGUAAUGUACCUCAGAAGUAUUUUUUGGGUGAUCUAUUUGGAUGAUUUUGCCACAAGUACCCUGAUGUUAUUUAUUUCAUGUCUUUUUGUGCGCUGCAGAGUCAAAAAUGUCCCAUUGACGGCCAGGAGGUGGUGCUAAAAAUCAAAAGACAAACUUGAGAUCAUGAUGAGAACCAAUUUAGCUUGAGCUUGGUAGAACAUGUUAAUACUAGUUAUAAUGAUUUGCAUCAGCAUUGUUAGCACCGGUGAUUUAUUUUCUAAUAUUUGCACUAUACUGUUGACCACCUCUGCUGAGGAUUUUUUUUUAUAGAGUUGGGAUGUGACACCAGCAUUUUCCAAAAAAAAAAAAAAAAAAUUCUGUUUUUUUUUUUUGUUGUUUUUUUUGUUUUUUUUUCUAACCCCGUCUCCAUUUUAGGACAGAAAGGUUAAAAACGACAGUUUGAUUGCUUCACAGAAAUAUCAGAUGUUAGAAAGAAAAAAAUAAACUUGCCUUUUGUUUCGAUCACAUGAAUGAGCUUUGCUGUUACACCUGAAGCUGUACUUUCAGUUUUAAAACGUUCAUCAUGUUUGUGAUUUUCAUGCAUGUUUGAAAAAAAAAAUAAAAUGGAAAAAAGUUAUUUCCAGAGCCCCACAGUUGUUUAUUUUUACUAUUAUUUUUCUCCAAACUGCUGGCACAAACUUUUACCCAUAAAAAUUAUUGUUUUCUCAUAGAGUGUUUGCUGAUUUGUAAACUGAACCAGCCUUUUGCAGCUCUGUUGUAAUUGUCACAAGAGUCCUCUUCCCAAACAGUAUACAGUGUUUUUCAUUGCCUCUGUUAGUCACAACAGUUUUUGUUUUCUAUCUAACUGUGUGUACGUGUGUGUGUGUGUGUGUGCGCGCGCGUGCGUGCUUCCUUAUUGUGGGAUCAUGUGUGACGGGCGGUUGCUAAGGAAGCUUAAAUAUUGCUGGAUUUAUUCUUUAGUUUCAUUUUUGUGACUAUGUAUGGACUUGAGAUGGGUGGCAUGGUGAGCGGAUGUGUUGAGAGUUUACUUAGACCUGAAAUAGCACAUUUAUGUCGAGAUGAAGUUGUUAAAGUUUUUUUUUUUUUCUGUAUCUAUAAGUAAGCAUUUUUAUGAUUAAAUUAACACUAAAACAA